rnacentral:rRNA from 1 species
GACAUGUACGGAAUCCUUUAGAGAUAGAGGAGUGCUCGAAAGAGAGCCGUAACACAGGUGCUGCAUGGCUGUCGUCAGCUCGUGUCGUGAGAUGUUGGGUUAAGUCCCGCAACGAGCGCAACCCUUGUCAUUAGUUGCUACAUUUAGUUGGGCACUCUAAUGAGACUGCCGGUGACAAACCGGAGGAAGGUGGGGAUGACGUCAAGUCCUCAUGGCCCUUAUAGGUGGGGCUACACACGUCAUACAAUGGAUGGUACAAAGGGUCGCCAACCCGCGAGGGGGAGCCAAUCCCAUAAAGCCAUUCGUAGUCCGGAUCGCAGUCUGCAACUCGACUGCGUGAAGUCGGAAUCGCUAGUAAUCGUGGAUCAGAAUGUCACGGUGAAUACGUUCCCGGGCCUU